rnacentral:lncRNA from 1 species
UGGCCUUUAUGGUGGCCACGCCCGCCCUCGCCUUCGUGCCUCGUCGGUCUUGACGGAAGCAUCGAUCGCGGUGUAGCAUGGAGAGCGCUCGGCUUGGACUGCCUGAUGAUCGGAAACCUCGUCGGGGCAUGCAAGGAGCUAGGCCUCGCGGGAGUAAUUGUCGUUGGAGAUCGGCGUUGGUGUAAGACCGUCGCGUUGCUCAUAUCAGCAUGGUCGGUGUGGCCGACGCCUUGUCCUGACCGGACGCCGAGUGCACGACAGCGAAGGAUGUAC